rnacentral:rRNA from 1 species
AGAGUUUGAUCAUGGCUACAGAACGAACGCUGGCGGCAUGCCUAACACAUGCAAGUCGAACGAUGCCUUCGGGCAUAGUGGCGCACGGGUGCGUAACGCGUGGGAAUCUGCCCUUGGGUUCGGAAUAACUCAGAGAAAUUUGAGCUAAUACCGGAUGAUGACGUAAGUCCAAAGAUUUAUCGCCCAAGGAUGAGCCCGCGUAAGAUUAGCUAGUUGGUGGGGUAAAGGCCUACCAAGGCGACGAUCUUUAGCUGGUCUGAGAGGAUGAUCAGCCACACUGGGACUGAGACACGGCCCAGACUCCUACGGGAGGCAGCAGUGGGGAAUAUUGGACAAUGGGCGAAAGCCUGAUCCAGCAAUGCCGCGUGAGUGAUGAAGGCCUUAGGGUUGUAAAGCUCUUUUACCAGGGAUGAUAAUGACAGUACCUGGAGAAUAAGCUCCGGCUAACUCCGUG